rfam:Cavia porcellus supercont2_188 genomic scaffold, whole genome shotgun sequence.
UGGCGCCCAACAUGGGGCUCCUGGCACAAAGGGCUCAACGAGGGAGCCAUCCUGAGACACAUGCAUAAAAGUGAAACUCAGAGUUUUGUGACCAACGCUACAUGAGAGCCUGCCGUGCUGCUCGAGUCACAGUAAUUGGACAGUGAUCCUUUCCCUUUUUUUCUGGCAUGGGUCAGGCAUUAAGUAAUCAUAAACACUUUGUGUCAGGUUUAAGCAAAGCUUUAAAGACAAGAGGGAUAAAGGCUAAAGAAAAAGUUUUAUUGCAGUACUUUCAAUUUAUUCAUAACGUUUGCCCUU